rnacentral:tRNA from 1 species
GCAGUAGUGGUUCAGGGGUAGAAUUCUCACCUCCCACGUGGGAGACCUGGCUUCGAUUCCCAGCCAAUGCA